rnacentral:rRNA from 1 species
AUUGAACGCUGGCGGCAGGCCUAACACAUGCAAGUCGAACGAGGGGCGGACGGGUGAGUACUGUCUGGGAAACUGCCCGAUGGAGGGGGAUAACUACUGGAAACGGUAGCUAAUACCGCAUACCCUAGGAUGUGCCCAGAUGGGAUUAGCUAGUAGGUGGGGUAAUGGCUCACAUGGGCGACGAUCCCUAGCUGGUCUGAGCGGAUGACCAGCGACCCUGGAAGUGGUACGCGGUCCAGACUCCGACGGGAGGGAGCAGUGGGGAAUAUUGCACAAUGGGCGCAAGCCUGAUGCAGCCGUGCCGCGUGUAUGAAGAAGGCCUUCGGGUUGUAAAGUACUUUCUGCGAGGAGACGUUACUCGCAGAAGAAGCACCGGCUAACUCCGUGCCAGCAGCCGCGGUAAUAC